rnacentral:rRNA from 1 species
UAUUGCGCAAUGGAGGAAACUCUGACGCAGCGACGCCGCGUGAGCGAUGAAGGUCNUCNNAUCGUNANGCUCUGUCCUUGGGGNNNNNGAUCGAAAGAUUUGACGGUACCCGAAGAGGAAGCCCCGGCUAACUACGUGCCAGCAGCCGCGGUAAUACGUAGGGGGCAAGCGUUGUCCGGAAUUAUUGGGCGUAAAGGGUGCGUAGGCGGCUUUUUAAGUCAGAUGUGAAAGACCACGGCUUAACCGUGGGGUUGCAUUUGAAACUGGAAGGCUUGAGUAUCGGAGAGGGUAGUGGAAUUCCCAGUGUAGCGGUGAAAUGCGUAGAUAUUGGGAGGAACACCAGUGGCGAAGGCGACUACCUGGACGAAAACUGACGCUGAUGCACGAAAGCUAGGGGAGCAAACA